CCUACGGGAGGCAGCAGUGGGGAAUCUUGCGCAAUGGGCGGAAGCCUGACGCAGCAACGCCGCGUGGGGGACGAAGGCUCUCGGGUUGUAAACCCCUUUCAGUGGGAACGAUGAUGACGGUACCCACAGAAGAAGCACCGGCUAACUACGUGCCAGCAGCCGCGGUAAUACGUAGGGUGCGAGCGUUGUCCGGAUUUAUUGGGCGUAAAGAGCUCGUAGGCGGUUCAGUAAGUCGGGUGUGAAAACUCUAGGCUCAACCUGGAGACUGCAUCUGAUACUGCUGUGACUAGAGUCUGGUAGGGGAUCACGGAAUUCCUGGUGUAGCGGUGAAAUGCGCAGAUAUCAGGAGGAACACCGGUGGCGAAGGCGGUGAUCUGGGCCAGUACUGACGCUGAGGAGCGAAAGCGUGGGGAGCAAACAGGAUUAGAUACCCUGGUAGUCCACGCCGUAAACGUUGGGCACUAGGUGUGGGUCCUUAUCAACGGGAUCCGUGCCGCAGCUAACGCAGUAAGUGCCCCGCCUGGGGAGUACGGUCGCAAGACUAAAACUCAAAGGAAUUGACGG
rnacentral:rRNA from 1 species